UACGUAGGUGGCAAGCGUUGUCCGGAUUUAUUGGGUUUAAAGGGUGCGUAGGCGGUCUUCUAAGUCAGUUGUGAAAUACUUCAGCUUAACUGGAGAGGUGCAAUUGAUGCUGGAAGACUUGAGUACUGAUGAGGUAGGCGGAAUGGACGGUGUAGCGGUGAAAUGCUUAGAUAUCGUCCAGAACACCGAUAGCGAAGGCAGCUUACUAAGGAGUAACUGACGCUGAGGCACGAAAGUGUGGGGAUCAAACAGG
rnacentral:rRNA from 1 species